rnacentral:rRNA from 2 species
UGCUGUGAACUCGAAGAGUAGGGCGGGACACGUGGUAUCCUGUCUGAAUAUGGGGGGACCAUCCUCCAAGGCUAAAUACUCCUGACUGACCGAUAGUGAACCAGUACCGUGAGGGAAAGGCGAAAAGAACCCCGGCGAGGGGAGUGAAAAAGAACCUGAAACCGUGUACGUACAAGCAGUGGGAGCCUCUUUAUGGGGUGACUGCGUACCUUUUGUAUAAUGGGUCAGCGACUUAUAUUCUGUAGCAAGGUUAACCGUAUAGGGGAGCCGAAGGGAAACCGAGUCUUAACUGGGCGUUAAGUUGCAGGGUAUAGACCCGAAACCCGGUGAUCUAGCCAUGGGCAGGUUGAAGGUUGGGUAACACUAACUGGAGGACCGAACCGACUAAUGUUGAAAAAUUAGCGGAUGACCUGUGGCUGGGGGUGAAAGGCCAAUCAAACCGGGAGAUAGCUGGUUCUCCCCGAAAGCUAUUUAGGUAGCGCCUCGUGAACUCAUCUUCGGGGGUAGAGCACUGUUUCGGCUAGGGGGCCAUCCCGGCUUACCAACCCGAUGCAAACUACGAAUACCGAAGAAUGUUAUCACGGGAGACACACGGCGGGUGCUAACGUCCGUCGUGAAGAGGGAAACAACCCAGACCGCCAGCUAAGGUCCCAAAGUCAUGGUUAAGUGGGAAACGAUGUGGGAAGGCACAGACAGCCAGGAUGUUGGCUUAGAAGCAGCCAUCAUUUAAAGAAAGCGUAAUAGCUCACUGGUCGAGUCGGCCUGCGCGGAAGAUGUAACGGGGCUAAACCAUGCACCGAAGCUGCGGCAGCGACACUAUGUGUUGUUGGGUAGGGGAGCGUUCUGUAAGCCGUUGAAGGUGUGCUGUGAGGCAUGCUGGAGGUAUCAGAAGUGCGAAUGCUGACAUAAGUAACGAUAAAGCGGGUGAAAAGCCCGCUCGCCGGAAGACCAAGGGUUCCUGUCCAACGUUAAUCGGGGCAGGGUGAGUCGACCCCUAAGGCGAGGCCGAAAGGCGUAGUCGAUGGGAAACAGGUUAAUAUUCCUGUACUUGGUGUUACUGCGAAGGGGGGACGGAGAAGGCUAUGUCAGCCGGGCGACGGUUGUCCCGGUUUAAGCAUGUAGGCGGAGGUUCCAGGUAAAUCCGGUACCUUAUUAACGCUGAGGUGUGAUGACGAGGCACUACGGUGCUGAAGUGAUAAAUGCCCUGCUUCCAGGAAAAGCCUCUAAGCAUCAGGUAACACGAAAUCGUACCCCAAACCGACACAGGUGGUCAGGUAGAGAAUACCAAGGCGCUUGAGAGAACUCGGGUGAAGGAACUAGGCAAAAUGGUGCCGUAACUUCGGGAGAAGGCACGCUGAUAUGUAGGUGAAGCCCCUGCGGGCGGAGCUGAAAUCAGUCGAAGAUACCAGCUGGCUGCAACUGUUUAUUAAAAACACAGCACUGUGCAAACACGAAAGUGGACGUAUACGGUGUGACGCCUGCCCGGUGCCGGAAGGUUAAUUGAUGGGGUUAGCGGCAACGCGAAGCUCUUGAUCGAAGCCCCGGUAAACGGCGGCCGUAACUAUAACGGUCCUAAGGUAGCGAAAUUCCUUGUCGGGUAAGUUCCGACCUGCACGAAUGGCGUAAUGAUGGCCAGGCUGUCUCCACCCGAGACUCAGUGAAAUUGAACUCGCUGUGAAGAUGCAGUGUACCCGCGGCAAGACGGAAAGACCCCGUGAACCUUUACUAUAGCUUGACACUGAACACUGGUCCUUGAUGUGUAGGAUAGGUGGGAGGCUUUGAAGCGUGGACGCCAGUCUGCGUGGAGCCAACCUUGAAAUACCACCCUUUAAUGGCUGGUGUUCUAACGUAGACCCGUAAUCCGGGUUGCGGACAGUGUCUGGUGGGUAGUUUGACUGGGGCGGUCUCCUCCCAAAGAGUAACGGAGGAGCACGAAGGUUGGCUAAUCCUGGUCGGACAUCAGGAGGUUAGUGCAAUGGCAUAAGCCAGCUUGACUGCGAGCGUGACGGCGCGAGCAGGUGCGAAAGCAGGUCAUAGUGAUCCGGUGGUUCUGAAUGGAAGGGCCAUCGCUCAACGGAUAAAAGGUACUCCGGGGAUAACAGGCUGAUACCGCCCAAGAGUUCAUAUCGACGGCGGUGUUUGGCACCUCGAUGUCGGCUCAUCACAUCCUGGGGCUGAAGUAGGUCCCAAGGGUAUGGCUGUUCGCCAUUUAAAGUGGUACGCGAGCUGGGUUUAGAACGUCGUGAGACAGUUCGGUCCCUAUCUGCCGUGGGCGCUGGAGAAUUGAGGGGGGCUGCUCCUAGUACGAGAGGACCGGAGUGGACGCAUCACUGGUGUUCGGGUUGUCAUGCCAAUGGCACUGCCCGGUAGCUAAAUGCGGAAGAGAUAAGUGCUGAAAGCAUCUAAGCACGAAACUUGCCCCGAGAUGAGUUCUCCCUGAGACCUUGAGUCUCCUGAAGGAACGUUAAAGACGAUGACGUUGAUAGGUCGGGUGUGUAAGCGCAGCGAUGCGUUGAGCUAACCGAUACUAAUGAACCGUGAGGCUUAACCUUACAACGCCGAAGGUGUUU